rnacentral:rRNA from 1 species
AUGCCCAUCGCAGGGCGGCAUGUGCUCGUUCGGUGUGUGCUGACAGCGCUUCCCGCCUUCGUGAUGGCCGUCCUACGCAUCCCAAAGAAAUUCUUCAAAGACGUGGACAAGGCUCGACGACGCUUCCUAUGGGCCCAAGACGAGGAGAUCACCGACGGGAAGUGCAAGGUUAACUGGCGGACAGUC